rnacentral:rRNA from 1 species
CCUACGGGAGGCAGCAGUAGGGAAUCUUCCACAAUGGGCGAAAGCCUGAUGCAGCAACGCCGCGUGGGUGAAGAAGGUCUUCGGAUCGUAAAACCCUGUUGUUAGAGAAGAAAGUGCGUGAGAGUAACUGUUCACGUUUCGACGGUAUCUAACCAGAAAGCCACGGCUAACUACGUGCCAGCAGCCGCGGUAAUACGUAGGUGGCAAGCGUUAUCCGGAUUUAUUGGGCGUAAAGGGAACGCAGGCGGUCUUUUAAGUCUGAUGUGAAAGCCUUCGGCUUAACCGGAGUAGUGCAUUGGAAACUGGGAGACUUGAGUGCAGAAGAGGAGAGUGGAACUCCAUGUGUAGCGGUGAAAUGCGUAGAUAUAUGGAAGAACACCAGUGGCGAAAGCGGCUCUCUGGUCUGUAACUGACGCUGAGGUUCGAAAGCGUGGGUAGCAAACAGGAUUAGAUACCCCUGUAGUC